UUGAGUCCUGGUGCCCUCUGAUCAGGCCCAUCCCGGAGGAGCCCUGCUGUUUUGGUCUCCGGACUCAGGCCUGGCAAUCCCAGGGGCAAAGGCCCAACCCCAGGCAUAGAUCAGACCCCUCAUGCCUCAGCCCCAGUCCCCAGCCAGUCUCCCACAGCCUGGCUGCCUCAUCGCCUUGCUCUGGGGCUGGUCCUCCACGCUCCAUGGUGGUUAUUUUUACCCUCACCCCCGCCCACAACCUCGCGCUCCGCCAGCCUUUCUGGAGUGUGCUCACAGAGCAUGCGCUGAAGAGGGAGCAAGGAAGGUGGCGAACGCAGGAGGGGCAGCCGUGUCCAGUGCUGCACUGUGUCCGGUGGCAGAGGCCUGUGCCAGUGGGAAGAUGGGCUCAAGUUCCCUGGUGUGAAGAGAAGACAAAAUGCUGCCCUCCGCACCUCUUUCAGGAAAUCCUCCUGUAUUAUAUUUUGAAUGCAGCUCCCUCCACCAUCUGGGAUGGAGUCAUUGCUUUACAGCAGUCAUAGCUGCUGUCAUGAAAGAUGAAGCUGGUCUCCAGGACACUAGGAGGUUGCAAAGAGCCACAUGAGUUUAUUGGAUAUGACAGAAUUUCUCCAAGUGGGGAAGCUAAAUUAAGCAAAUGAGUCUUGCACCGUCACCCAGGCUGGCGUGCAAUGGUGCCA
rnacentral:lncRNA from 1 species